CAAGAUUUAAGUAGUGCUGUAAGAUCAUCCUUAUAUUUCCUUUUCUCUCCAGCUGAAUCUAGUAUUCCUGAGCUAUGCCAUGCUAACAGCAUUGCCAAGUGAAGUCUGCUGUUGUUUUAGCUACACAUCACUGUCAAUAGUGUAGUAGCUUCCCUGAGCGGCUUCAUUCAUGUGCCUCAACUUUGCCUAUUUGAAACAAUCUGAGGGAGAUUCAGUUUCCAUCCCCAAUCAGUGGAUUUGCAGCCUUUCUGCUGAGAUUUCCAACAAAGGUGCUACUUGCAGUUGGGAUUUUUACUAUGUGGACAUUUUUCCAAUGGGGUCUGGAUUUAGAUCAUCCGUUCAUUUCACAAACAUUUUCAAACAGCCAUCAGAUGGAAAUAACUGCCCUUUCCUCAUGACCAAACUGGGCUGGACUUGAAAGAAACUAGAGGUUUUCACUUUCGUUGAUACCUGAGGAAGUGAACAUCCUCAUAAGUGAGCACUGAAAUACUAAUCCUUGCUGGUAUUGUGCUUCCAUCACGAUGCCCACGGUUUAUGAGGUAGUUGGACACUCCUGACACCCUGAAGAUUCAAGUUAUUGGCAAAACUAUCUGGACUUCAAUGGGAGCAGGUUUAACAGCCACAAUAGUCAAUUCCAGCAGGUUUCAGUGGACCAUGUAGUAACUCAAUGUCACUAGAGCAUGAAAGAAGAAAAGGAAAACAGCUGGGAGGAAAAAGUGCAGCUUUAAUGUGCAGUGGGCUGUCCUCUCUAAAGGCAUAUUAUUUCAAGAAACUGACAUCUGGCAUUUUCCAUAUUUGGAUCGAAAGACUUGAACUAAGGGACUCUACUACCCCAGAAGAGAUGAAAACAUAAAGGUGACCUGACCACAGAGCCAAGUCACCACCACAGACCAUGGGAGCCUGGAGGAAGAGACUGAGGGAGAGGGACUGCCAUGUCAGGCUUCACCAUAAGGGGCACUGCAGGACUGUGAGUCUUGAACAGAGAAAGAGACAGAACAAUGGGAGUCUUUCAAAGUGACCUGGGCUAAGUUACAAAAAGUGUCUAUACUGCGACUCCAUGAGCAGGAAGAGAGCUGCAGCAAUGGAAGAAAAGGAAGGAGGCACUGAAGCAGAUAGAGCUCAUCUCUAGAAGGAGGUACCACCCAGCUCUGUUUUCCAGGCUUCGUGUAGCAUUCUGAGUAUGCAUUUUCUAUGAUUGAACCUCUACAAAAGAACCUGAUCUCAAAAGCACCGCAGUUUCUGGUACCAGCUCUAGUUAAAGCUGCUUUUUGGAAAGAAGAAAAACCUGUUAAAUGUCCAUCGAGGAGCCACAAAAAUAUUCAUAGGUUGCUUGUUUGCUCCAAAGAUUUAAUAACCUGAGACAGUGAUUUUCAACCUGUGGUCUGCCAGAGGACUGCCAGAAAUCCGCAUACAAUGCCUAAGAUUUCCAUAGAAGUCUGCACCUCCAUUCGAAAUUUUUUUUAGGGCUCCACAAAGGAAAAAAGCUUAAAAACCACUGAUCUAAGAUAAGACUGAAUGUUUUGCUUCUUUACCACUUAGCAUGCAAGGGCUCCAAGCCUGACUGGGGCCUAAGAACAUUAUCUUAAUACAAAUAUAACCCUUCCUAAUUAGUAUUGCUAUUUAUUUAAACUGCUUCAAAAUAAAGGACAU